CCAGCCCCAGCUGCCUCAUCCCAGCCAAGGCUUCGUCUGACCCCAGCUUGAAAACACCUCCAGGGCUGGAGAGUCCACCACUGCUCUGGUUCCAAACCAUCUGCAGGGCUGUGAAAUUGGAGCUUCCUUACCAGGAACAGCGAAGAGGCAGCAGAAUGGCAGAACAAAGACCCACUUGAGGAGUGGAACAUCAAGCCUAUUAAAAAGAAGAGGGUGAUUAACUCCUAUGGAAUGAAGAGCUGAGAAAGGAGCAGAUAGAUGAUAAUGAGCCAUGAAGUCAAUUGACUCCCUCAGCACUACCUGACUAGAAAUACUGCUGCUGCUGCUGCCAGGCAGUUGGUUUUAACUAUGGGUACAACAGGAUUCAAAGUGGGGGGUGCAGGUCAGAACGGUUCCAACAUUGUGGUUCAGAUUCCUGUUUGAAAUCUCUUGGUUUGUUUCAUGAAUCAUAUUCACACCCCCAGCACUGCUUACAUUGUGCAGCAUGCUCCAGCACCCUUGAAAGGAUGUCAGGGCACUCUGUAAUUGAAAAUCACUGUAUUAGCCAGUGUAUAGACUUAAAGAGAAUGGUCCAGUGGUUAUGGUGCUAGGCUAGCCAGAGACCUGCAUUCAAUUCCCUGGUCCGUUCAGUGUUGGUCAAAUUACUUGGCUUCCCUGGGCCUCAAUUCUUUGUCUGUAAAUCAGAGAUAAAAGCACACCCUUAACUCAUAGCAGUUCUGGGAGGAUAACUUCCUUCCAGAGCAUGAGAUGUUCCUGUACUGCAGUAAUGGCAUUCAUACCCUACAUAUGUAUAAACAAGUCAGUCCCUGCUCUGAAGAUCAUAUGUUCAAAAGUUACAGGCAAGAGGAUAAAUCAGGCAGCUGGAGCACAGGGAAAUAAUGGGACUGUACUGUUGGCACAAAAGAGAGCUGCUUACCUGCUGUUGGUGGAUGCAUAGCAUAUGACAUAUAUAUGACGUAUUAGCCAUUUUGUGGUUCUGGCCUGUAUUCCCAAGAAUAGAAAAUCCCACAAUUUCUUUGGGGACUUGUGAUGGCCAGAACCAGAGGGAUUAAUAAGCAAUAAAUAUGUGCUUCUUGGAGGCAUUUGGUAUUUUGCUUAAACAGGUAAUAUUAGCUACUAUAAAGCUUGAAAGUUCGUAACCUGCAAAUGUAACUUGUCUGUCAUAAGUUUAACCAAAAUGAUAAAUUAACUGUUUGUGUAACUGACUGGGCCCCAUAGGCAAAGCUGUAGCUGCAAGAUUAGCUGACCUAACUGUUUUUGCUCAGGGUUCAGCCUUGACGAUAAAAACUGGAUCCAACCGCCUGGCACACCCAACACAUUCCAGGAAAACACAAGGAAGCAUAUUCAGAGAAACCUAAAAGGGGUUGAGCUUAGGCGGAACAAUGUCAAUUUCAAACCUAACGGUGCUGCAUUGUAAUUUGCUUAUUGGAUAAACCUGGGUCUGGGUAGUACCUUUUAUGAUAAUUUUUAACACCUUUCAAUCCCAUAGGGUAACAGCUAUAGGGCAAGAUUGUGAGUGGCUCUAAAGCCAACAGAUUAGCAUAAGACUGGGUAUAAAAAGUGCAUGCAUCAAGUGACCAGCAGAAAGGAGGGAACAGAAUGGUCAUUUCUGUUCUAAACCCGGACUCUGAACUCCCGGUGUGAGUGAGGAUCGGAUCCUGAUCAAGGGAGCUUCCCUGGUAAUCCCUCCAACAGCAUUGAUCGGGGACGCCUGACUUUGCUGGAAUCAUUUGACGCGUAUCUGGCAUUGAGGGACUAUCGAUAAGUUGCCAACCCAUGUCUGUCUAUCUGUUGUUUUGAACAGCCAGGUGGCUGAUACCCUUGCAGUGCCCAGUUGGCCUGCGACAGAAUUGAUCCAUCUAUCUGUUAUUAUCUGUUGUUAUUAUUUACUAUUAGCUCUUUAAUACUGCAUUAUCUGCUUAUCGCAUUUAUCUUUCUGUUAACUGUUGUGUGUGUAAACUAUAAUAAAUUUGCCUGUACUUCA